rnacentral:rRNA from 1 species
UACGUAGGGUGCGAGCGUUAAUCGGAAUUACUGGGCGUAAAGCGUGCGCAGGCGGUUGUGCAAGACCGAUGUGAAAUCCCCGGGCUUAACCUGGGAACUGCAUUGGUGACUGCACGGCUAGAGUGUGUCAGAGGGGGGUAGAAUUCCACGUGUGAGCAGUGAAAUGCGUAGAGAUGUGGAGGAACACCGAUGGCGAAGGCAGCCCCCUGGGCUGAGAUUGACGCUCAGGCACGAAAGCGUGGGGAGCAAACAGG